AUCCGUGAAGAUUUAGUGGCUCUGGAAAAGAAAUUUGAGGAGAAGACUGGGUUGCCGACCCCUGAAAGCAUAAAUACACGGAAAAUAAAGAAGGCAGCUGUUGGAUUUGGCAAAUCAUGAGUUUACUGAAAUUGACGAAAAAUUCUCAGGUUAUUUGUGUGAUGAAGCACAAACUGGAAUGCCAGCUUUUGCAGAACUGUGGUAUGAUACACUUGUGCUUUGAUAUCUUGAAACUAUCCAAAAGUGUGUCCUGAGGUUUAUCGUUCUAUUAAUACCAUUGUGUUUAGGAAUGAUCGGAUUACCACAGUAAAGAAUUGAAAAAGGGCUGUAGUUACUUAUUUUGAGAAGGAUGAAAAUCAAGAAGUGGCCUUGUCUUUUUAUUUAUUUUUCCUUGAUGAGUGUUUGUUGUCUGAACACUUCGGCUUUUGUUGUUCAGUGUGAAGAAGAUCCCCUCAACCUUUA